UUGAUCCUGCCGGACCUGACUGCUAUCGGAUUGGUACUAAGCCAUGCGAGUCGUUGUAGCAACACAAGGCGGACUGCUCAGUAACACGUAGUUAACUUAACCUAUGGAUGGGCAUAACCUCGGGAAACUGAGUAUAAUACCCAAUGGACCACAGUGCCUGGAAUGGCCUGUGGUUGAAAUGAUUUAUCGCCGUGGGAUAGGACUGCGGCCUAUCAGCUUGUUGGUGAGGUAAUGGCCCACCAAGGCUAUAACAGGUACGGGCUCUGAGAGGAGGGGCCCGGAGAUGGGUACUGAGACACGGACCCAGGCCCUAUGGGGCGCAGCAGGCGAGAAACCUUUGCAAUGUGCGAAAGCACGACAAGGUUAAUCCGAGUGUCUCCUGCUAAAGGAGUCUUUUGUCAGUUGUAGAAUCACUGGUGAAUAAGGGGUGGGCAAGUUCUGGUGUCAGCCGCCGCGGUAAAACCAGCACCUCGAGUGGUCAGGAGGUUUAUUGGGCCUAAAGCAUCCGUAGCCGGUUGCAUAAGUUUUCGGUUAAAUCUAUGCGCUUAACGUAUAGGCCGCCGAAAAUACUGUGCCGCCACGGAGUGGGCCAGGUCACGGUCUCGAUA
rnacentral:rRNA from 1 species